AAACAUAUGCCGGAUCUACUUAACUUGUCAUUUGGACUACAAUUCCCAGCAACCCAUUCGCCUACAUCUAUAAUUUUAUGUAUUCUUAAGAAAACUACGCAAUUAAGAAGCUCUCCUUGUGCUGAAUAUAGUUUAGUUUUCAGGGCACGCAGUUUUUAGCCGAGUGGAAGGAAGAAAAAGAACAGUCUUGUCUUCUAUUAUUUGGAGCGUGUUUGUCCUGGAAGCCUGAGAUAAGAAUGGGAGCUGGUGAAAGCGCGAGCAGAAAAGUGUCUUUCGGUCUCGAUGAGAAUGACCGGGUCCAGGUGCUUCGUGGAGUUAAGCUUUCAGAUGAUGUUCUCCGGAGAAUGCGAGAGUCUACCCGUGGGGUCGAUUUCAGACCUCCCUCUCCAGAAAGCUCUAAGGCAGAGCCUGGGCCACCCCCAGCUGCUGCAGGAUCAGGGCCUGGUCCUGCUGCAGCUGAGACACAGGAGGAACUGCAGAGAAGGUUUCAGCGUGAACAGUCCAUCAUGCAAGAGGAGCUGGUGCGUGUGGCAUGGCGAGAGAGGGAGGCUGCGCGGAAGGAGCUGAGCAAGGCCUUGCUUCGGGAGAGGUCUCUGACCCGUGGGGAGGCAGAGAUGGCCCAAAGCCUGGCCAAGCAGCUAGAGAAGAAGGAGGCUGAGCUGAAGCUCCUGGAUGCCUUCUACAAGGAGCAGCUGGCACAACUGGCAAAGAAGAGCCUGGAUCACUACAAGACGACCAACCAGCAGUUCCAAGAAGCUGCAGUCAGUGCAGAGACUCGCAUAAAACCUCGCAGAACAGAGCCCGUCUGCACCGGCCUGCAGGACCAGAUCCUCCACUGCUACCGUGAGAACCAGGGCCAGACCCUGGGCUGCUCGGGCCUGGCCAAGGAGUACAUGCAGUGUGUCAACGCCAUCAAGAAGGCUUACGUCUGCACGUUGUGGACAUCAGACAGCCUGUGAGCGCAGCUGCCACCGACAGCGGACGGCAACCAGCCAGUCAUCAGAUAAGACAUGCCUGAGCUGCUGGUGACUCGUGGGUGAAGAGGAGCAUGCCAACCACACCCUACGCAGUCCAGCCACGUUAUCUCUCUGCUGGAGCAGUUUGGUACCUCUGAGGCUGCCCUUGCCUCUGCCUGAGAAGGACACCUCACUGUCAAGAGUGCCUUUAUUUCUGCUGCUUUUUAACCUUGCUGUCUUCAGUUCUUUUUAAAGUAGCAUCACAAUUGAGAUUCUUCCCCGUAAAACAAAUCACUCCAAAGCCAAAGAGAGAGAAUGAAAAGUGAAUGAAAGGUUUUAUUGUCAUUUGAGACCUGAUUUUAAUAAUUGACUCAGGAAUGUCUCACCAGUGUAUCAGACUCAUUAAACCACGACCUCAUGUGGACUAAGUUCUUUGAUGGAAGUGUGGGCUGUGUGAUUCUCUGCUGUUAAUCGAUGUGGGAGAAGAUUUCACAAACUGUCAUUUUCCCAGUCAGGACUCCAGCAUCCACAGUCUGUGAACCAUUGUUUCUGAAGUCAGGGUCGGGGGGACUUUCAGAGGGCGUACAUUUAGAGGACGGAAGGCAAUGUAGGGUGUAAACAGAACAUGAAAAAUGUCACAUCAGUUUGCAUCUUACUUAAGGGCGUGCAGAUUGGCGAUUGACUCGGAUAAAUGGCUGCAGUAAUCGAGAAAAGCAAACAACCUCAGUCAUGUCCUUCCUCUAAAAUGUUUCUCACCUCUUUAGCUCCAAGCUGGUCAGUCAUGCAUACUGCCACAACACCAAAAUCCAUGGAUAUUAAUGGCGUAGAUUUGGGUAUAGAGACAUGUCCUUAACAAUAUUGUGGGAGUAUUGUGUGUUUAGCGCUCACAAAUACCCUGGGGUCGAAUUGACCCCAAAGGCACAUGUCAGGUGACUUCUCAUUGUAACAAAUUGUAGGCGCGUGUAAGAGUUAGGAGAGCUAGGGAUGCAGGGCUGUUUUGGUCCCUACCAUUGUUGAAACAAAAAAAACGCCCUUGAUGCAUAUGCUCACAAACUAACACUUAGGCUACGUUCACACUGCCAUGCUGAAGUGACUCAAAUCAGAUUUUUUGCCUUAAUGUGACACAGAUCUGAUCUUUUCAGGUCUGUAUGGACAGGCAAAUAUGAUCUUUUCAAAUCAGAUUUGUGUCACUUUCAUAUGUGGUUCUAAAUCGGAUACGUAUCUGAUUCGCGGCCAUGUGACCUGCAUGUGAACGCUCAGAUCGCAAUUCGUGUGGCUUUUUGCUUACACGCAUGUGCUGACAUCAUCAGCCUGCACCGGCAGGCUCGUACCCACACAUCUCUGGGUGCAGCACUUCCAGCAAUAACUGCAAAAACAGAAAAAGCUAGCCGCCUGACUUUUUUUCUCCUUUUCGACCUGCUCAUGUACACUGAUUCACGUCCUCCAGAGCAAAGUGCGAUACAUGCGUGCGCUACUAACACCUCCAUUUUUAAUGCCAUGAGUCGUCCCAUAGACAUUACACUUUUUGUUGUUGGUGACGCAGUUGACCACUGUAAAAACGUAUCAAUGUGCGCAUUCGUGACGUUUUGGAGGACUGAUGCGUUCACAUUGCAGUCAGAUACAGGUCACUUGUAGUUAUGAAUGUGAACCGUCAAGAUUUCCGAUCUGAGCAAAAAAUCGGAAUUAAACAAUGUGGCUGGCAGUGUGAACGUAGCCAUACUGACAAGCAGUAUUGGGAAGGUUACUUUUGAAAUGUAAUAGAUUAUAGAUUACUAGUUACCCUGUUGAAAGUGUAAUAAGUACUGUAACUAUCUUGAUUACUUCAUCAAAGUUAUGUUACUUAUUAGAUUUGAUUACUUUUUGAUUAUUUUUCAAAGAAACAUUUUAAACUGGGCAAUAAAGCUGAAAAGUCCCAA